GAUGAACGCUAGCGGGAGGCUUAACACAUGCAAGUCGAGGGGCAGCACGAGGUAGCAAUACUUUGGUGGCGACCGGCGCACGGGUGAGUAACGCGUAUGUAACCUACCCUGUACAGGGGGAUAGCCCGGAGAAAUUCGGAUUAAUACCCCAUAAAGAUAUGAGAUGGCAUCAUUUUAUAUUUAAAGUUCCGACGGUACGGGAUGGGCAUGCGUAACAUUAGCUAGUUGGCAGGGUAACGGCCUACCAAGGCAGCGAUGUUUAGGGGUCCUGAGAGGGUGAUCCCCCACACUGGUACUGAGACACGGACCAGACUCCUACGGGAGGCAGCAGUGAGGAAUAUUGGUCAAUGGGCGCAAGCCUGAACCAGCCAUCCCGCGUGCAGGAAGAAGGCGCUAUGCGUUGUAAACUGCUUUUGCAGGGGAAGAAUGUUUCGCAUGUAUGCGGAAUUGACGGUACCUUGUGAAUAAGCAUCGGCUAACUCCGUGCCAGCAGCCGCGGUAAUACGUAGGGGGCGAGCGUUGUCCGAAUUUACUGGGCGUAAAGCGCGCGUAGGCGGGGUUUUUAAGUUGUGGGUGAAAUCCCGAGGCUCAACCUCGGAACUGCCUGCAAAACUGGAAGCCUUGAG
rnacentral:rRNA from 1 species